rnacentral:lncRNA from 1 species
GUCAGUUAAGAAAAAAAUCUUGUUUUCAGUGACAGCCUAUGAACAGUGGUGGGCUUUAUUCAGGGGUAGAGUGACAGAUUUUUUACUUUGUCAGCUCAGGGAUUUGAUCUUGCAACCAUUCAGUUACUAGUCCAACAGUCUAACCACUAGGCUACCUGCCACCGUGCUAUGGAAGGUGCAGCCAUGAAAUGGAGUAUCAGUAUACUCAGUGACCCCCACAGAACACCAUUUUCAAUGGUUUACAGAAAUAUUAGUGUCUCCGCUCUUAUUGCAGGACUUUGACUGUGGGAAAUCACCUGACUAUUCAGCCUAUUGUGCGUAUCGGAAAUCCAUAUUUCACUCAGCCUUACCUAUGGAUUGUGCACCGAUGAAAUGGGGUAUCAGCCUACUCAGUGACACCCAUUUGGACCAUUUUCCUGUCCUGCUAAGCAUUGAAAAUGUACCGAGAACUUUUUGGUGUCAGGGAAAACUUAUGGAGUAAAAAGUACAUUAUUUUCUUUAGGAAUGUAGUGAAGUAAAAUAAAAGUUGUAAAAAAUACAAAUAGUAAAUAAAGUACAGAUACCCCCCAAAACAAAUUCAUUAGUACUUUAAAGUAUUUUAUUUAAGUACUUUACACCACUGCCCAUUAUUUCACAACAGUUCAGUGAGCUAUGUACUAGCCUUGAUCUAUUUGCACCAUCUAGUGCUAAGAGUUUAUAGUUAGUUUGUAGUGAUUUUGCCUUAACAACCUUUUACUGCAGUGAGCUAAAUUAGGGUCACACAAAGUGUUUCUUGGUAGUCCUAAACACAUCUACUUUGAAACCAAAGUAUACACCACACACACAUGGUUAUGGGCUUAAAAAAAAGAAGGCACAUGUACCAUGUCAGAUAUAGAGUUGAAAAUAAUGUAGUGUUAAAGCCUUCACAUAUUUGAUUCAUAGCUUUGUAUUCAUCUGGAACUUCCCUGAGGAUGCCAAUAGCAUUCAUCUAGACAAAGCUACUCCCAUGCUGGUCAAAACUCCUCCUGUGCCUACUUUAGCCUCCUAUAACUGGCCUCUGAUGACUAAUUCGAACUGGUUGGACCUAUAACCCCAGGGCGCAAGUUCCUAACCACCCUUUGUGGUAAUUUCUGUCGUAUGCAUCCUUUGCUGGUACUAGCCCACCCUUCAGUUAUAGGUGCUGUGAGGUUAAGAAUUUUCUAUUAAUCUUUCAAACCUAAUUCAGUCAAAUUAACGAUUACUUUCAGCCAUUAAAAUCAUCUAAGUUCUCGGUGACAUUCUUGUAUCUAUAACACUGGUACUCAUCAGGAGUUAAGGUGAACCGAGGUGGGUUGGCUAAGCACUUCUAUCUGGCCAACCCCAAUUCCUGUACAGUAGUCUGCUUUCCCAGGAAAUUGUUUAAUGUUUACCUUAAAUUCUACAUCUUGAUUUUCUUUAAUGCCUUAUUCUGUAUGUCACUCAUCAGUGUAUUAUAUAGUUUAUCUUUUCAUUUUUAUAAAUGACAACGGUGUCGUAUGAUUGGUGUCUUAUGAUUAGUACCGGAAGGUGGUGGAUCUGAAUGUAUCAGAAAGAUUAGACUAUGAUGCAGCUCAGAGCCUCUACUCUUACCAAAAACCGCCAACCCUCUCCUGUCCUUAGUCAAUCUGCUAGGUACCACCCCAUACUCACACCUCUAGGAGCACACACAGUGAUGAACGGUCGGGAUAGGGAAUCUUCGUUAAGGAGGUAGCCCCCGGACCCUGUUGGUACUCAGUUCUUCUCCUAACUCUGUGUGAUCAGCAGUGCUCAUAUGUGUACAUACCUUCUUGCAGUGGAUAACGUGGACCCAAGUGACUCUCUCAGCUUCUCUAAUGGCAAAGGCAGUGGUUUAACAGAACCUGGUAUGGGCCUUCCCAACGGGGCUGCUUCCAGUCUUUUCUCCUCAGGGACUGGAUCCACACCCAGUCUCCUGGUUGUACUGAGUGAAUCACCUUCUCCUGUAAUUCACCUGUUGGACAAAAAAUCUUGGACAUACGGGUUUGGUUAACAAACAGUCUUUUCAUGUGCUCUAGUAUUUCUUCAACUUCUAUGUCUACCUGUUCUGGUAUCUCUAACUCUGGCAUUCUAUAGGCUCUACCUGAUUAGCUAAAAUGUCAUCCAUCAUUUAAAGAGAUGGCUCCUAGUAAACCAACUCUAGGGAUCAUAUCUUGACUUAAUAUUUUAGCUACCAUAAUCAUGUCCACCAAGUAAGUUGGGAACGCUUCUACCCAUUUGCUAUACUUAUCUAUUAUUGUUAAACACCCCUUCUUCCCCUCAAUUUGGAAUAGUUCACUAAGUCCAUUUCCAAAUGUUGGAAUGGAUAUUCUACAAAAAAUGUUUUUGUUUAAGUAAUAUCCUAACCUGUUCUAUCGCCUGCUCUACCAUACUCCCCCUAUUUAUACAUGGCUCAAGCCAUGUAUCAAUAUUGCUGCAUAUCUAAACAAAUUAUCCUUAUGUCAGCCCUUCUCUUGUAGGAUUGCCCCCUUUCAUUUUCCACAUGUCCAAUUCUCCCUGGGGCAUUCAUCCUUAGCUACCCUGUAACAAUUCUCUGUCAAGUGUCUUAUUUAAGAUUUAUCUGUGCUGCUUUGUAUGGUUUUAAAUGCCUAUGUGCUUGUCUGUGUAAAUAGUCAUAUCUCUUCUUAGCGAAUUUACCAAACAUAAACUUAAAAUCAAAACUAAAAUACAUGCCAAAUGGAGCCGAUAGUCUCUCCAUGAAUUAAUAUCAUAACUAAGCGAACCAAACUAAAUUAUCUUCCUAUCUUCUAUUCUUAUUAUGUAUUUUCUGUCUGUCCCAGUAUUAUUUCUGUCCUCACCUGUGUCAUGACGUUGGCCUCUUUUGGUACAGGGAGGACAGUUGACCCCCUCCCUUUUGCACCACCACCCAACCUACCUUCCCCCCAAUCCACCCUGUGUGUAAAGGGUUGUAAAAACUCUAAAAUUCCAGGAGAGUCUCUGGCCACAUGGCCCAUAGAGAGACACAGGAAAUUCUUCCAACUCAUAGAAUUG